rnacentral:rRNA from 1 species
ACGGGAGGCAGCAGUGGGGAAUAUUGGGCAAUGGGCGAAAGCCUGACCCAGCGACGCCGCGUGGGGGAAGAAGGUCUUCGGAUUGUAAACCUCUUUCAGCAGGGAAGAAGGAAGUGACGGUACCUGCAGAAGAAGUCACGGCUAACUACGUGCCAGCAGCCGCGGUAAUACGUAGGUGGCGAGCGUUAUCCGGAAUUGCUGGGUGUAAAGGGUGUGUAGGCGGAGAAGCAAGUCAGGCGUGAAAAUUGCGGGCUCAGCCCGGAAAGUGCGCUUGAAACUGUUUUCCUUGAGAGUGGGAGAGGUAAACGGAAUUCCUGGUGUAGUAGUGAAAUGCGUAGAUACCAGGAGGAACACCGGUGGCGAAGGCGGUUUACUGGUCCACAACUGACGCUGAGACACGAAAGCGUGGGGAGCAAACAGGAUUAGAUACCCUGGUA